UGUUUGCUUACCACAUGACGCAUUUUGUCUGCAUGAACAUGAACAUGUGGGAAUGUUGCAUAACACAUUAUAAGGCUUGAACUAUAUGCUAAUGUUGUAUAACUCAACAUCGUCACUUUGAAAAUGUUACACAACGCACCAGAGGAAUGGUCUAAACGUUGAAAUUUAUCAACAUAAAACGGACAUGAUUACUCUCUAAAUGUUGUACUAUACAACACCGACAAGAUCACUCUCUAAAUAGUGUACAAUACAACACCGACAUGAUCACUCUCUAAAUGUUGUACAAUACAAACCGACAUGAUCACUCUCUAAUUGUUGUACAAUACAACACCGACAUGGUCACUCUCUAAAUGUUGUACAAUACAACACCGACAAGAUCACUCUCUAAAUAGUGUACAAUACAACACCGACAUGAUCACUCUCUAAAUGUUGUACAAUACAAACCGACAUGAUCACUCUCUAAAUGUUGUACAAUACAAACCGACAUGAUCACUCUCUAAAUGUUGUACAAUACAAACCGACAUGAUCACUCUCUAAAUGUUGUACAAUACAACACCGACAUGGUCACUCUCUUAAUGUUGUACAAUACAACACCGACAUGGACACUCUCUAAAUGUUGUACAAUACAACGCCGACAUGGACCCUCUCUAAAUGUUGUACAAUACAACGCCGACAUGGACACUCUCUAAAUGUUGUACAAUACAACGCCGACAUGGACAAUCUCUAAAUGUUGUACAAUACAACACCGACAUGAUCACUCUCUAAUUGUUGUACGAUAUGGACAUAAUGCUGACUAACAUAACAUCAACAAUCUUAUUAUGCUUAACAAUCAUCGCUAUAGACUCUUUGACAAUAAUACUGGACACAAAAACGACAUGGACACUGUGAUAUUCUGCGCAACAAAUAUCGUUACGGAAACUGUGAUAUUACUGUACACCACAAAAUUUGUAUCUACUUUUUUCUUAUUUUUUCCACCAUUUAUUUCCAGCUGAAAUCUUGUUUUUGUUGUUUGGCAUGUAUCUCUGCUACCAAGUUAGGGCGGCGUCAGCGGUGGUCCGGGAUGGCUUCUACAUCUCGCUAACCAUCAUCCUCGAGUUUGCAGCAUCCUUGGCGUUCUAUGUUUUACGAUGAGUUUGCAACAUCCUUGGUGAUUUAUGUUGUACGCAGCUUUGGUACGCCCAUAGACCUCUGGACGACAUAAACAUUCGCAACAGAGCUUACUCAACGUCAGACGUCCCCGAUAAUAUGGCACCGGAAGCUAUGAAAUUAACGUUGGCAUCUCGUCUAACGGCGACGUCGACGUUGGUGACGUCAGUUUAGCGGAUAUGGAUCCGGAAGAUAUAAGGGUCGAGUUGAAGCGUCUGUAUACCUAGUUACAAGUCUACCAAACGCGAAAUAUGAGGCGAGAUAACCCAUAUAUUUCAAAGCGUCGCGGAGGCCGGAAACAAUCACACAGACGUUUUUCUUUGCAAGCAGCUUUUCAUCACAAACACAAGCAUCACCAUGACCAUGAUCACGAACACGAAAUGUCGAAAACACCCGAGGAGAGCACGAAUUCUGCCGAAGUCCUUCCGAUGCCCGUCGAAAUUAGUGCCACGAAAUGUGACGAUGUAAACGAAGUUAAACCAACCGUGUCAUUUAAAAUGGCGCAUUCUCAUAAAUGAUACUGAUUGUAGUGCUUGAACUUUAAUAACUAAUUUAUUAUGAACAUGCUAAAGAAUUUAAUUAUAUAAUUUUUAUAAAUGCGUUUGUCGUACUUUAUGUGUUGACAAUAACAUUGUUUUUCGUGAAAUGUAUACAUCAUCAUUUAAGGGAAGUAAUGCCGUGGCAGCAAGUGUUUAAAACACAUCCUGAGUUGUCGUUCUUAGAACGAUGAUCUCUGUUAAAACGACUAUCGUUACUUCAUUUAGAUGAACUGCACAAUUGUGAACUUUCUACAGAAAGCUACAUAUUACGGACAAUGUAAUUGCAAGAUUUCUCAUCUGUUCCUCUCGCUAGUGAAUGAGAAUUAACGAAUUUUGUAGUGGCACGUGGAAUAAUUAAUUGUGCUAAGGGGUGUAUCUAUUGUUUUGACACGUGAAAUUGAUUCAUAUGCUGAGGAGUGUAUUGUUUGGGCGCGUGGAAUCAAACAUGUUGCUGAGAGGUUUAUAUUUGAGUUGCAGGUGUCUUACACGUGUCACAAAAUAAAAAUGUCUUUUACAUUUGUGCAGGUCAUUUGUAAGACUUAGAUAAAUUGAUAAACAUGUACGUUGUUUUAUGUCCAUAUUUUCUUAAAAGAAAAUAUUAGCCAUUUCAUUGUGUUUUCUGAAGAUUCAA